AAACAAUUUUAUGAACUGAAAACUAACAUUUCUUAUAGAAGAAAAUUGUUCACGUCCCAUUUUUCCAAAAUCGACCCUGAGAUCGACAAUAGUGUGCAAAAGAAAUCAUGUCGAAAUAUUACUUCUUCGCAGCGUCGUUUUGGUCAGGAGAAUGCGUGUUUUUUGGUAACUUCAUAUUUACCGUCAUUGUCUCUCCUAACCAAAAACACAGUAAAUAGACAGAGAACAUUCGACGAACUUCACACCAUUCACAUUCGUUCUAGUAGCUUUGGCUAGCACCGGUAUAACUAUAUUCAAAUAUUUAUUUUCUGACUGAAUUUAAACUCAAGUUGGGUUGUAACACACAAAAGUAACAAUUAUGUCAAAUUAAUUCAUAAAACACAUGGAAUUAUCGUAUACCUAAGUAUAAAAGAAAAACAGUGCAAUUGCAAUGUUUCACUGUAAUAUAAUUGUUACGUUUGUUAUGACUUAUUUUAAGUUUGAAUGUUACUGGCCCACAUUUACAUUUUCGUUAACAUGUAGCUUAGCAUCAAAAUUGGUUAUGUAUACCAGUCCGACUACUACUAUUUGGAUUCGGUAAGUUUUCAUCUUUCCUACGGUUCUAGUCCGUAUACGAUAUAUAAAUUUGCAACACUAUCUCUUGCUAUUUUUUUUAUUCUUUGAGUAUAAGGUGUCUUGCUUUUGUUUUGUAAGACAAUGACUUGGGAUAUUCAGUGCUUCGAAUACAUGAAAUUCAUCCUCUAUGCCAGAACUAUUUACUACUUUAAAGCUUAUGUGUGUAAAAAUGAAAAUUGCUUCAUUUAUAACUUUAGUUAGUGGGUGAAUCUUACCAACUUUUUCUUGUCCAAUGACCAACAUAAUGUCAGUUACCUUAUUGUGCAGUUUAAAGUUAAUUUCUUUGGUUUUUGGUAUAUUUUCUUUAUUUUAAGUUGACUUGGUUUAUUAUAUAAAAUGCUGGUUACCGGGCUUAAAUUAUUUUUUACUUGUGUAUUCUCUAUCUUCUUUAAGCUAUAAAAGUAAACUUUAGUCAUACCCUUUUACUUAAAUAUCAAAUCCUAACUAUUUCUAAAUCCUGCAAAAGCACUCUCAAUUUUAGUAACUGGUUUAUUUGUAAAUGAAGCUAUUUCUUUCAAUUCAAAAAUACUAGUGUAAACUUUCAUUAUAGUGAUAUUUUGCAUAAUAUCAACCACUUAAAAAACUAUUUCCUUAAUUAUUAAUUUAUCGAGUAAUUGUGUUUUUUUUGUUAACCCUUUGAGCUCUAUGGACGCAUAUAUGGGUUUGGCGAAAGUCAUCCGCGUGGCCUAAGGUCGCAUAAAUGGGUUUUCUCUAAGUCAUUGGCAUGGACUAAAGGCGCAUAUAUGCGUUUGUCGAUUUUUUCGAUCAAUAUGCAGUCACUUUCGUGUAAAAUU